UACGGAGGGUGCAAACGUUGCUCGGAAUCAUUGGGCGUAAAGCGCACGUAGGCGGUCGGCUAUGUCGGAUGUGAAAGCCUCGGGCUUAACCCGAGAAGGGCAUCCGAAACUGGCUGGCUUAAGUAUGGAAGAGGGUCUCGGAAUUCCCGGUGUAGAGGUGAAAUUCGUAGAUAUUCGGAGGAACACCAGUGGCGAAGGCGGCUCACUGGUCCAUUACUGACGCUGAGGUGCGAAAGCGUGGGGAGCAAACAGG
rnacentral:rRNA from 1 species